UCAGAGAGGGAAUCGGGAGGAGGCACUGAGGCUGCUGUGAGUUUAUAGCCGCCUCUUUAGUGCCGGGGUGAGAGGGCAGGGCUAAAGACAGAAGCUGGACCCUCAGCAACCUUCGGACUCCACCCCACUAAACCACAGGCCAUCCAAAUGAGAAGCAGGGGAAUCCUCCAUGCUCUCUUUCAGCCUUCAGGGUCCUUGUAUUCUCGUCCUUGGACCAGGACCUUUGCAAGUACCCUCCCCAACAGCCUUCCCUCUGGGUCCCUUGGCUUCCCACAUGGAGCUUAGCCAGACAGCUCCUUACUAGUCCUUCACAGGAGGCGGCUCCUGAGAGUUCACGACCAUUUUGCUUCAAGGGAAGACUUAAACAAUGGGUACAACUGGCCUAGGGAAUGAGAACAAUUUUUACCUAUCCCUGAAGUGCAGAAAAUUUGGUGGAGCUCACAGCCUCAAUGACAUUUGAUCUCCUUUGCCCUCCUGGGCAUUGAAUUACGGAUGAAGGGAAGCCAGGGCUGACAGGUUCAAAGAUUUCAAGAACAGAGGUGGGAGGAAGGUGAAGAUGGCGGAGGGACCCUGACCACCUCUGUGCUAACUAAUUACUCUCCACACCUGAGAAAUCAAGUGGAAGCAAUGAGGCUUUUUAAAGCAAAACCCAAAGGAACUCUUAUGAGAGAUGGUUUUUCCUCUUUUUGGCUUCCUUCUAAGGCUCUGGGUCUUUAUAGACAUUAACUACACAAUGUCAGCACAUCUCAGAAGCUCUUUUGUCAUAGGGACCACUAGAGUCUAUUAGUGCUGCUGAGGAGGUGGUUACUUACACUGUUCUCUGCUUCUCCUGCUGCAACAGCUUCAAGGGGACCAGCUGAGGGCUCAAAGUACUCAAGAGCACCCAAGUCCUCCCAUGAGAGAGAGUCCCUGUGCAGAGAAGCUACUCGGCCAGUCUCCACAGAUGUCCUGGGCUCUUUUCUACUUCCUGUCCAUUUCUCCAAGAAGCCUCGACUCCUGUUAUUGGAGAACAGCAUUAGAAACAACGUCAAGUGCUUGAACAGGUCAUUUUGCUUUGCAUUUGGUCCCACCACUCAAGGAUCUCGGAGUAGCCAACCUGCUGGAGAGCGGCUUGAUGGUGUCUCAUCUUUAUCCCAGCGGUCUCCUGUUCCCCGCUCCUGGUCUCUGGCUUCAGUCAACCUUGCUGCCUUCCUGCAGAGUUCAGCCCCACUCUCCAUCUGCUCUUAAAAUGGCUUCUUUUCCACAUUCAUUUCUCCUGCGGACAUUUUUCUCAGCACUCAGAGGUAACAACUGUCUCCUCCCUCUGUUGUUCUUGCAUUCUUUGGAGUCCAUCCCCCUUGAAGUCGUUGACAUGUCCUUUGUUGACAUUGGCCCAUUCACACCACUGUAGUGUGUACCUAUAUCACUCUCAGAUGAUCCUGUGAUAUAGGUACAUGGAUAAAAUAACUGCAGUUGGUUUGAUAUGGAACAUCCUUCAAAAGGCUGGUAGAUCUCAGGGUGACAUAUAUUCACAUUCUGUACAAUCUCUUCCUAUGAGGGUAGCUUGGCCCAUGGUAAUUUGCUCCAAAAAUCCAAUAGAUCAUGACUUGUGGUGGGGUUUCAUUCCUUUGCUUCAUCUUUGACAUUUUAAUCGUGUAAUUUGAAUAGCAGCCCUGUCGCUUCUCCAGCUGUCUUUUCCCAUGAGCAUGCCAUGUGCUGCUACAUGUGUCUUUAAUUUGCUACAGGUAAGGACCUGUCCCCUAUAUCCACUUAGCUUCAUCUCACUGCUGUCUGAAGCCUCAUUCUCUUAGCAUCUUUUCCACUCUUGGCUUUGAGAGGAAACACAACACUAACAUUAGUUCUCCAAUGCCCAGUAGGGGUUUACAGUUUGGAACUGGGUUGCUCUGCAGAAUAAGACCUGGGUGUGCUUCUCAGAUUCCUGUCCCCUCCCCCUCCCCAGGACACAGGAUCUCUUUAUAAAGCAUUAAGGAAGUGCUAUUGUUCACACAUUAAGCAUUCAAUUUGAAAUUGAUGAUCUUUCUUGGCUUCUUAUCUUUUCCCAGAGCCUUAGCUUAGCAAUAGCCAACAAGAUGCAUCAUCUCAUAGUUAACGCUUUUAUCAAGUUUGUAUGAAUCCUUACAGACAUUACCAGAUAAUGCUGCCCAAAUUUGCCAGUGAAUUUUUGAACAGUUUUUUAGUUGCCAUGUGCCAAGAGUUACACAAACACCUGCUAUCACUAGUUAUGAUCUUUAUUAUCAAUGAAAAAGAGAAUGACCCAGCUCAGGCUCCCUUUCAGUACCUCUUCUGGCUUCAUCUCAGCCAAAAGCAACUAAAGGGAGGAGGAGGUUUAUUUGGCUUUACACUUCUAGGCCACAGUCCAUCAGUGAAGGAAGUCAGGACAGGAACUCAGAGCAUAAGUCAAGGAGGAAUGCUGCUUGUGGGUGGCUCACAGGCUCAUGUUUAGGUAGCUUUUUUAUCCAGCCCAAGACUACUGCCCACAGCGGGCUAAGCCCUCCUACAGCAAUUAAUAAUAAAGACAAACCCCCACAGACAGCCCACAGUCCAACUUCCUUCUCAGGGGACUCCAGGCUGUGUCAGCUUGACAGUUGCAGAUAUUUAGAAUAGCACCUGCUUUUCCAGAUCAUUCUUGGUACCAGCUGUGAUAGAGAUUAGCAUGAAGGAUGCUUUGGGGAUAGAAUUUUAGGUCAACAUCUUGGAAAGAGAAGAUGAAGAAGUAAUAUAGUCAAAAGGGAGAGCCCUGUAGCCCCAUAGACUCACUAUACCCUGCAGAGCUUUGAUGCCAUCAAGCUCUUAUAUUGCUAUUACUGUCAUACUAAUAUGAUACGUCCACAGGUGAUUAUCCAAGUGCGCCAGCCAAGGAGGUGAGCUGUCUGCAUGAGUGGCAUCAGACAAAGACCACUCAAAGGUGCUGCUGAGUUUUGCCCAUCAUGUUCUCAGAAAGUGGAGGGAUUCUUUCAGUAAAGGGGUCCUUGGACAACAUAUAACUGUGUCUAUCACAGUCAUUAAUUAAUUUAACUUACUUCUUCUUUCACUAAGCCAGGUGAGGUCUAAGAAAGAUCUACAGUUCCUUCAUGUCAUAUGUCUGGGCAGCUGGUAAAAUUGACUUUUAUUUAAAAAACUACAGAACUCAGGGUCAACCUCAAGGAUCAGCUUAGGUUUCCACAAUAAGGAAGUAGUAGAAACAGAAACUCAGCACAAUGCAGCCCUGAGUCUUGAAUUCCAGCUACUUGUCCAACAUUAUGCUCUGAGGAAGUUUCUUGGCCUCUGAGAGGUAGAGGCUUGCUUUCUGAUAUGAGCAAAUCCCAAAAAUGUGUCUUCAUCUUUGUCUCACCACCACCACCACCACCACCACCACCACCACCACCACCACCACCCCGAAUGUGCAGGUAUAAGAUGCAUAUGUCACCACAUGGAGUCAAGUCCAAGCUCUGGCAGAAUUUCAGAUGGCAGAAACACAGGUGGACUGCAGAGGGGGUGGCAGGGAGGCUGUAUACCCUUUCCCACCUAUCAUUUGUAAUAAAUUACAUAUCUUAACACUUAAGCUUAUUCCAAGAUCCUUAUUUUUGUGGCUAGCUCUUUAUUAUAGUUUACUCAUAGAUAUAGAAAAUGACUACAGAAGGUCGACCAGAUGGCUUGAUGACUUACAUUCACUUGGGACAAACAAUGGAAGGAAACUCCAGCUAUUCAUUCUCUUACAGGCAGGGGUGUGCAGUGAUUGUUUUGCAAAUGAAAAGAUAAACAUGCUUCUUAGGCUCUGGAAGCUCUAGGGAAGCCCAGAGAUACUUUCUGCUCCACCAUUUUAUUUGAGAACAUAAGGAAUUAAUUGUACACCUUGCUGAGGGGGGAAAGCAAAUUACGUAUUCCAAGUACUAAAAUUUUCCUUUUGGGAUAAGAAUAUGGAGCUGACGGAGAGAAAAUACUUUGAAGACAUUGUGAUGGGGAAACCCCUCAAGAUUCCAGUUCUUCAGUGCCCAGUAUUAGGCAACACCUGCAUGGUUAUGUAUCUCUGGGGUAGAAGUAUGUAUUGUUUCUCAGAGAUUGUAACCCAAACAUCCUCCUGCAAUCCAUAAUCAAAGACGAUUCACCUGAAAGAUACAAAAAUAAAGUGGGGGAGAAGUCAUAAGAACUCUUUCCAAGAGUUUCCAAGUAUUUCCAGAUAUGAAAUCAAUGAACAACCACUUCCUCUUUGGGGAGUUGCAGUUUCUCAUCUGAAAGGCAGCCACGUGGCUGUGCAUGCGUCGGUCACCCUGGAUCCCGGUGUGCUUCCAGCACAGAGCAGCCUCUGCCCGUGAAGAGAUGAUCCGAGUUAGAGGAGAGGCUCUAAACAGGGAAUGGCGUGGUGUGUGGCAUCAUAUCUGCUCCCAUCUGACCCUUACAGGGCCAGAACCAGAAGAGAGAAAAAGACAGAGGCUGGUGUCUCAAAAUUCCCUUCUAGGACACACCUCUAGUGCCCUGAAACCUCUUAUUAAGUCCACUUUUCAAAUGUUCCACCACCUCACAGUAGGCUAGAGAACACACUUCUAACACAUAAUGAGCCUUUUAGAAACAUUUCAGAUCCAACUCUAGCAUCUACAUGUACAAAAGUGUUUAUCACAUAAUAGAAAACAACAUAAAAAUUAAGUACCUAGAGGAUUAAUAUAUUUAAUGUUAUAUGUUAUGAAAGUAUUAAGGAACUGUAUUGUCCAGUAUAAAUGAUUAUAUUAUAGAUACUUUUGUACAAAGCUGUCAUUUGAAAAUAAUGUACAUA